rnacentral:lncRNA from 1 species
CUCUGAUAUGGGCAUGGUAGAACUCAUAUAGCUUCAGGACAAGAAUAAUUGUGUUUGCUCUACUUCUCACAGACAUAACUGAUUUAUAAUAAUUCGAAGAAGGCCAGUUUGCAAUAAUUUGAUGAAGAACCGUCUGCGAUCUGAAACACAGUCACAAUCUCAGUCUAGCUGGACCUGCUGGUCUUUUUCUUCGCAUAGAAGAAUAAGGCUAUGUUGAGUAAUAACGAAAAGAACCCAUAAGGAAAAAUUUAAAACUAACUUUUUCCAACACUUCUGGAAGAAGUUAUGAAAGGUUUGCACGACUUUCCAGUAAGAAGUCUAUCCAAAAAAAUUGAUGCUGAUUUCUCCUCAAACAGAGGAUCUGAAUUUUAACCUGAUCUGGAUUCAUAUACAACCUGCUCUUCAGUCAGUCUUUAAGAAUAAAACUGUUCAUUAACCCAAUGGAGAGUUUUAAAACUCAUGCACCUUUCGAAUCACUUAAUUCAGAGAUGGCUGGGUGUAUUUUAAGCUUUGGCAAAACGUGCACAUUUUCUGUUUACUUCUUGCCAAAAUGCUACACGUACAUACUGUCAUGAUGGCAUGUGGAAUGCUACUCACCCUUUGAAGUAAUUUUUUGUUGUAAAUCAAACCACUGACUCUUAGCUUGCGACAAAGAAGGAAUCACCACAGUUUAUCGGUUCAAGUGCAGAGGUUGGAAUAACUACCCUGGGAGCUUGUGUACAUAGCUUAAGAGUUUGAUACUAGAGAAAGCAGGCAGCUGAAUGGACAAGAGCAGGACCUCAAAGGCUACAGAGAGCCCAGACACCGCCUUGGAGCAGUUAAAAAAGCUGUCCGACUCACCUUCUCCAGCAGCCAUGAGCAAGGAAGCUAGGGGAGCAGAGGGGAAGAGGUCCGACUGGAAGAACUGA